rnacentral:tRNA from 1 species
GGUCCCGUGGUGUAGUGGUUAGCACUCAGGACUCUGAAUCCUGCGACGGGAUUA